rnacentral:rRNA from 1 species
GAUGAACGCUGGCGGCGUGCCUAAUACAUGCAAGUCGAGCGAACAGACGAGGAGCUUGCUCCUCUGACGUUAGCGGCGGACGGGUGAGUAACACGUGGAUAACCUACCUAUAAGACUGGGAUAACUUCGGGAAACCGGAGCUAAUACCGUAUAACAUGUUGAACCGCAUGGUUCAACAGUGAAAGACGGUCUUGCUGUCACUUAUAGAUGGAUCCGCGCCGCAUUAGCUAGUUGGUAAGGUAACGGCUUACCAAGGCAAUGAUGCGUAGCCGACCUGAGAGGGUGAUCGGCCACACUGGAACUGAGACACGGUCCAGACUCCUACGGGAGGCAGCAGUAGGGAAUCUUCCGCAAUGGGCGAAAGCCUGACGGAGCAACGCCGCGUGAGUGAAGAAGGUCUUCGGAUCGUAAAACUCUGUUAUUAGGGAAGAACAAAUGUGUAAGUAACUAUGCACGUCUUGACGGUACCUAAUCAGAAAGCCACGGCUAACUACGUG